AACGAACGCUGGCGGCAGGCUUAACACAUGCCAGUCGAGCGCCCCGCAAGGGGAGCGGCAGCCGGGUGAGUAACGCGUGGGAACGUACCUUUUGGUUCGGAACAACUCCGGGAAACUGGAGCUAAUACCGGAUAAGCCCUAACGGGGAAAGAUUUAUCGCCGAAAGAUCGGCCCGCGUCUGAUUAGCUAGUUGGUGAGGUAACGGCUCACCAAGGCGACGAUCAGUAGCUGGUCUGAGAGGAUGAUCAGCCACACUGGGACUGAGACACGGCCCAGACUCCUACGGGAGGCAGCAGUGGGGAAUAUUGGACAAUGGGCGCAAGCCUGAUCCAGCCAUGCCGCGUGAGUGAUGAAGGCCUUAGGGUUGUAAAGCUCUUUUGUCCGGGAAGAUAAUGACUGUACCGGAAGAAUAAGCCCCGGCUAACUUCGUG
rnacentral:rRNA from 1 species